rnacentral:rRNA from 1 species
AACGAACGCUGGCGGCAUGCCUAACACAUGCAAGUCGAACGAGACCUUCGGGUCUAGUGGCGCACGGGUGCGUAACGCGUGGGAAUCUGCCCUUGGGUUCGGGAUAACAGUUGGAAACGACUGCUAAUACCGGAUGAUGACUUCGGUCCAAAGAUUUAUCGCCCAGGGAUGAGCCCGCGUCGGAUUAGCUAGUUGGUGGGGUAAAGGCCUACCAAGGCGACGAUCCGUAGCUGGUCUGAGAGGAUGAUCAGCCACACUGGGACUGAGACACGGCCCAGACUCCAACGGGAGGCAGCAGUGGGGAAUAUUGGACAAUGGGCGAAAGCCUGAUCCAGCAAUGCCGCGUGAGUGAUGAAGGCCUUAGGGUUGUAAAGCUCUUUUACCCGGGAUGAUAAUGACAGUACCGGGAGAAUAAGCCCCGGCUAACUCCGUGCCAGCCGCCGCGGUAA